AAACUUUGCAAUGUGCGAAAGCACGACAAGGUUAAUCCGAGUGAUUUCUGCUAAAGAAAUCUUUUGCAAGUCAUAAAACCACUAGUGAAUAAGGGGUGGGCAAGUUCUGGUGUCAGCCGCCGCGGUAAAACCAGCACCUCAAGUGGUCAGGAGGAUUAUUGGGCCUAAAGCAUCCGUAGCCGGCUCUGUAAGUUUUCGGUUAAAUCCAUGUGCUCAACGCAUGGGCUGCCGAAAAUACUGCAUAGCUAGGGAGUGGGAGAGGUAGACGGUACUCGGUAGGAAGGGGUAAAAUCCUUUGAUCUAUCGAUGACCACCUGUGGCGAAGGCGGUCUACCAGAACACGUUCGACGGUGAGGGAUGAAAGCUGGGGGAGCAAACCGGAUUAGAUACCCGGGUAGUCCCAGCUGUAAACGAUGCAGACUCGAUGAUGCAUUGGCAUAUAGCCAGUGCAGUGUCGCAGGGAAGCCGUUAAGUCUGCCGCCUGGGAAGUACGUACGCAAGUAUGAAACUUAA
rnacentral:rRNA from 1 species